rnacentral:rRNA from 1 species
CCUACGGGCGACAGCAGUGGGGGAUAUUGCACAAUGGGGGAAACCCUGAUGCAGCGACGCCGCGUGUGGGAAGACGGUCCUCUGGAUUGUAAACCACUGUCCCCAGGGACGAAGAUGACGGUACCUGGGGAGGAAGCUCCGGCAAACUACGUGCCAGCAGCCGCGGUAAUACGUAGGGAGCGAGCGUUGUCCGGAAUUACUGGGUGAAAAGUGAGCGUAGGCGGGGAUGCAAGUUGGGUGUAAAAACUACCGGCUCAACUGGUAGUCGCACUCAAAACUGCAGCUCUUGAGUGAAGUAGAGGCAGGCGGAAUUCCUGGUGUAGCGGUGAAAUGCGUAGAUAUUAGGAGGAACACCAGUGGCGAAGGCGGCCUGCUGGGCUUUUACUGACGCUGAGGCUCGAAAGUGUGGGGAGCAAACAGGAUUAGAUACCCUUGUAGUC